UACGGCCAUAUCUUGAUGAAACUAUCUGUUCCCGUACGAUUAGCGAAGUUAAGCAACGUCGAGCCUGGUCAGUACCUAGAUAGGUAACCGCUUGGUAAUACCAGGUGCUGUAAG